rnacentral:rRNA from 1 species
AAUGGGCGCAAGCCUGAUCCAGCCAUGCCGCGUGAGUGAUGAAGGCCUUAGGGUUGUAAAGCUCUUUCGGCGGGGAAGAUAAUGACGGUACCCGCAGAAGAAGCCCCGGCUAACUUCGUGCCAGCAGCCGCGGUAAUACGAAGGGGGUUAGCGUUGCUCGGAAUCACUGGGCGUAAAGCGCACGUAGGCGGGUUGCUAAGUCAGGGGUGAAAUCCUGGAGCUCAACUCCAGAACUGCCUUUGAUACUGGCGACCUUGAGUCCGGGAGAGGUGAGUGGAACUGCGAGUGUAGAGGUGAAAUUCGUAGAUAUUCGCAAGAACACCAGUGGCGAAGGCGGCUCACUGGCCCGGUACUGACGCUGAGGUGCGAAAGCGUGGGGAGCAAA